rnacentral:rRNA from 1 species
AGGGUGUAAACGCUGCAGACUUGGUGUUGGAGGCCCUUUGGGGGCAUCCAGUGCCGGAGAGAAGUUGUUAAGUCUGCUACUUGGGGAGUACGUCCGCAAGGACGAAACUUAAAGGAAUUGGCGGGGGAGCACCGCAACGGGAGGAGCGUGCGGUUUAAUUGGAUUCAACACCGUAAAACUCACCAGGGAAGACUGUUACAUGAAGGCCGAGAUGAAGACUCUGCUAGAUUUUCAGAGAGGUGGUGCAUGGCGUCAGUGACU